rnacentral:rRNA from 1 species
CCCUUAGAUGUUCUGGGCCGCACGCGCGCUACACUGAUGCAUUCAACGAGCCUAUCCUUGACCGACAGGUCCGGGUAAUCUUUGAAUCUGCAUCGUGACGGGGAUAGAUUAUUGCAAUUAUUAAUCUUCAACGAGGAAUGCCUAGUAGGCGCAAGUCAUCAGCUUGCGUCGAUUACGUCCCUGCCCUUUGUACACACCGCCCGUCGCUCCUACCGAUUGGGUGUGCUGGUGAAAUGUUCGGAUCGGCCGUUUGUCGCGGUUUCCGCGUCAUGUGGCUGAGAAGUUCAUUAAACCCUCCCACCUAGAGGUAGGAGAAGUCGUAACA